CCUAAAAUGGUUGAAACUCCUGAACAUUCAUUCUCUUUUAAAUUAAGUUCAUUUUCUCUGAAGACUUUUCACUUUCUUUCCUCCCCUAUUUUAAUCACCAACCAUCUCUUUUAUUUUCAUCACUUUCUAAAUUUUAACUUAUACUCUUGAAAGCAUAAAGUGAAAGUUGUUCAUAGUUGGAGAUUUUAGGAAGUGGCAGAAGAAGCAUCAAGAAAAACUCAUGAUUACAAACUACUCUCUUUUUGUUUCAAAGGAUGAGCUUGUUAAGUAUGUAAGUACAAGUGCCUUUUGAAGAGUAUUCUUGAAUUUAACUGAGUCAAAAACUGGUAUGGUUUGGUUGGGGUAAAGUCUGAGUAACCUGUGCUGUAUUAACCCAAAAUGGUUGAAAAAGAUGUUUUGCGGGGUGAAAAUUAUGAAUGUAAAGUUUAAGUCUACCAAGUGUUCGACAAAAUAUCAAAAAGGAAAAUUAAAGAUACAAAGAAAAGGCUGACGACUAAAGUGAUGGACCAUCAACCUAUCAACGGACCGUCACAAGAACCGGCGUCAAAAGAUGUUUUGAAAUAUAUUCUGUUAAGUAGCGACGGACAAGGCGAUGGACUAUCAGUCACCCAAUGGACCAUCAACUUGACCGUCAAUGACUCACUAUUUCUCUGCUUAGAUGCGACAGAUAAGGCACUAUGACUCAAAAACUACCAGCAAGGAGAAGUGGUGGACAAUCUCAACAAUCUUGAGACACCACCACUUUAAGAGGUAGGGGUGAGCAAGAAAGUGGUGAUAAGGCACUAGUAUUUAACACUCGCCAAAGUAAGAAGAAGAAAGAAUUCUCCCAAUAUGAUGAGAAGAGUUAAAGUGAGAGCAGUAUUAGCAUGAGUUCUAGGCCUGGGGAGGAAAGGGUUAACACUUUAAACCCAGACCCAGUCAAUGUAUCAAAAUCUGAGAAAGGAUAUGUUAUCAGAAACAAAGACCCGAAAGUGUGUGAAUUAAUCUAGUGGAAGGUUGAGGGUACAAAGAAGCACUUCUAUAAUGGGAUCCAUCCUACUUAGAAUAGAACUAUGAAGCAAACUAUUGUAGAAGAGUAUCAAAUAGUCACUUUUGAUCUUCAUGAGUACCCAGAUUUGGAAAGGAGGUUCAAUGAAUAUGAGUUAGCAAGCUUGAGCAGGCCCCCAGGGUCAUAUUAUCCAAACUUAGUGCAAAAAAUUUUUUAUAAUUACUUGGCACUAUAGACUGUCCCAAAGGCACAAAAACUGCGGAUAUGAGAAACAGACCACAGGUUCCUAUGAGAGGGGUGAUAAUUGAUAUUUUUGACCCCACAAUCAACAUGAUAUUAUUUGGUCAAAAUAUCUAGCACCAUUUAUCACUCCAGAGUUGGAGCAUUGUAUGACUACAGUAUCUAGCCAAAGGCCUUGGUUGGCUUGGGUUCUCACAGAUAACGAUAACCCAUUGUGGUUGUAGAGUAAAGAUCGAAUUAUAAAGUCGUCCCUAAGUUUUAGGGCAAAGUUUUGGUGGGCCAUCAUCAGAUUGAGGUUGAUGCCUAUCAAAGGGGAUUCUAACUUAGACAAUCAAAGAGCAGUGCUAGUAUCCAGUAUGAUUGAGGGGUUGAAGAUCAACUUUGGUCACAUAAUUGCUGAUGAGAUAUUUCUUCGUUCUCACAAGACGGUGAUUGCAUUACCAUUUCUUUGCUUGAUCAUGGAGUUGUGUAGGCAGUCAAAUGUGUCUAUAAUUAGGGGUGUGGAUAAUGAGGUUUGAGCCUUAGAAGGAAAAAAAUUGAGCGGACAAAAGAGGACUCCAAGUUCGAGAUGCAAGUCCAUAAGCCGCCAGCCUAUGAUGCACAGAAUGCACCCACUCUAGAGACUUCGAAGGUGCCUUCAGGUAUGUCAUUUCCUAUAGUUACUUAUGUCCCACUGAGUACUUCUGUAGGUUUGGAUUUUGUACCUUCAGUUGAAGAGGCAUCAUAUACUGCUUCUAUACCUUUGAGAUACUUGGAGUAUAGGUUGACCCAGGAGAAUUUUGCAAAAAUAGUAAAAACUCAAAAGAAGUUUGAGCGAUAAUUGAGUUCUUAGGCAAAAGAAUUCAAGCCUUUUGUGGAAAAAGUUGUGGCUGAAGCUGUUAAACCAUAUGAAAACUUUCAUGCUCGGAUGGAUAAUAUGGAGGAGUGAGUGAACAACAGACUGAGAGAUCUAUCCAUUCUAAAUUUUGUGAAGUUCGCAGCUGAAUUCAAGCAAGCACAUGAUAAUAUUGCUGAAUUAAAGAAACAACUACCACCAAGUGCAUUUGAUCCCACAUUAGUGGUAAGUGAUGAAAAACAAGGUCUUGAAGAUCUCAUGGGCAGGCCACUCGAGGAUAAAGGCAAGAAGAUUGAUGAAAGUGGUAAUACAAGAUCGAAGAGGAAGAAAAGGCACAGAGAUAAAACACUGGAGAAAAGAAAUCUGAGAAAAGCAUUAGAAAGAUCAAA